GGGGGCGUUCUGGUUUCGACGGGAUGUCUGAUGCGCUGGCUGCACGUGGAGGUUGAUCGGUUGGCCUCCUUAAAAGCCGGUCAAAACAAACAAAUGCAAACUCUAACGAGCUCGCACUGGCUGCUUAAUUGAC
rnacentral:tmRNA from 1 species